ACCAUGUUCAAGUCCCAGAAAGGUAGUAAGGACAUCGUUAAAAUAGUCCAUGUUACAUCAGUGGUUCAACCUUAAUUUUAUGAAGCUACGAGAAUUCUUUUUGUGUGCAAAGAAAACAAAAGUAGCAAAUUUAUUCAACAAUUUCUGGUUUCUAUGUCAGAACGCCGCUCCUGCGUAGGCAGCACCACACACGUGUCAUGAUACACUGUAAAAAAAAGUCUGUAAAAAUACAGUACAAUAUACCGUAAUAAUUUGAAGGAAUUUUCCGUAUUUGGUUUUGACAGGUGUUUUUCUGUAUUUUUUAAUUAAGCUUUGCAUUGUGGGAACAAGAAGCUCAGUCGAUUAUAGGCGCAAAAACAGUGCAAGAGCAGACGCCAUUAUUCACGGAGAUAGUAUCGUCAAAAUUUCAUUUUAAAGUCGGAUUUCAGGUUUGGGGAACUGUUCUUACACUUCCAUGGUAAAUUAGUUAUUGUUAAAUGUUUACAUAAACUGUAACUUUAACUUAGUAGCUUGUUUGGCAAAUGAAUAUCGGAGCUUGGAGCCGGCAUAUUCAACAUUUUCAGCACAUCGUCACAUCUCGACAACGUGGAGGUGUUACUUGUUACAGUGUUUUCACUUUUAGUUUUAUAAUUAAAAGUUUAUUAACUUUUUAAUUGUUGUUGCGGUGUAUUUCUUACUGAGCGUGUCGUAAAGCAUCGGCAUAUUACCCUUACUGAGGUGAUGUUAAGCAGCUGUAAGAACGUUAAAUCUGAGAUACAACUGUGUUUAGAGCGCUUUAUGCCUUCAACAGGAGCUGGCAGAGCAAUUGUCAUGAAAAGAAGACACCAUUUACGACUUUUUUAUUAUUAUUAUUAUUAUUUAAAAGAGAUUAAGAUACGACUAGGUGAAGAUCUGACAUUGCAGAAUUCUUCACGCCUUUUCUGCCAAAUGAGGUUGUAAUUGCUGCUGUACUGUACAUCCCAAGCACCCCCUGCAUUCUUAUCAUGAAUUGCUGUCAUUCAAGAAGUUAUCAUUUCCUCCCCCAUUGUGGCUGAGCUACACAUUCUCUUUGUUUUAAUUUAAACAUAAAACAUCCAGAGGAGAUGGCACCUACGCUGGAAUCCAUACAAAUUCUUCCUGUGAAGAAAUCCUGAACGAGGGUCAAAGGUUCAGAUGAUGGGAACCUACGCUUCCAAGACUUUGAGAAUCCAUGCACAAUUUGAGCUUUUUUUUCAAAUCUCAACAUGGAACUUGGACUGAACAUGCAGAAAAAAACAACAACAACAAAAAAAAAGUAGUUUCCACAAACUGGCACAUGGCAAGAGAUACUUUGUAUCUGAUUGUAUAGUAUAGUUUCACAUUGAAAUGUGAGGCAUGAGUGCAUGAAUCUUUGUUUUUUCAUUUUCAAAUGCUGUACAAGAAAGUAUUUUUUUGCAGUACCAUGUCAGUUAUGCAGAUAAUUUAGCAUGAAUUGGAGGUUAGUAAUCUAACUUAAAGGGUUAGUUCACCCAAAAUGUUAUUUGAAAAAUCUUGUUUCAAUCCUGUUAGACUUUUGUUCAUUUUUGGAACACUAAUGAAGAUCCCUUUUAAUGAAAUCUGACAGCUAUACCUUAUUGGACCUUGAAAUGGUAGUUGUAUAUGGUAGUUGUCAAUGGAGGGAAAAUACUCUUUGUUCGUGUUCCAAAGAUGAAUGAAAAUCUUAUGGAUUUGGAACGGUAUGAGGGUGAAUAACUGAUGACAGAAUUCACAUUUUUGGGUGAAUUGCCCUUUUAAAUAAUAUUGUGUACUUCUAUAGGUUAAAUGGUGUAAACACUGGAACAUUUCACUUGACAAUUGACUGUAAGUCUAUAGCAAUUGUUAUUAAUGACAGCCCUGUCUUUGUAAUUAUUUUUUUUUACCCAUGUAUUUGAAAAUAUUUUGAAUCUUGACUGUUUCACAGUGAAGUUUAUCUUUGUGACCACUAUUCGGUGCAACAACAAUACUGUACAAGUCAAGUACCUGUUCAUGUUUUCUUUUUUCUGCCUGUUGCUGUUUAAAACUAAAAAGUGUUCCACAAUACAAGCAUUUUCAAUGGUGCUUUACACAUUGUUAAAUUAAUUGAUGUAAUUAUAUUUUUGUCUUCACCUGUUUAAGGCAAAUAAAUGCUA